CAGGCCGAAGGAGCCGUCCGCCCGAGCGCCGGUGCGUGGCCGGUGCCGGCGGGGGCCCUCCGAAGGCGGGUCUCGGUUGCGUAUCGGUCAGUGGUCGCUGUGGUGCGAUGUGGACGAGAGAAAGAAAAUAGCCGAAAAGGCCGGCGUUUCGCCCGGGCAGUCCGCCCGGAGCGCCUCUCGGGCGGCCUUCCCAACUGCCGUCGACCGCCCGGAGGGGGACUUAGAAAAUAGCCCAAAGUGCGGAGCUCCGCCGUCAGAGGCCGGCGUUUCGCCCGGGCAAUCCGCCCGGAGCUCCUCUCGGGCGGCCUUCCCAACUGCCGUCGACCGCCCGG